AGUGAACGCUGGCGGUAGGCCUAACACAUGCAAGUCGAACGGCAGCACAGUAAUAGCCUGCUCUUACGGGUGGCGAGUGGCGGACGGGUGAGGAAUACAUCGUAAUCUACUUUUUCGUGGGGGAUAACGUAGGGAAACUUACGCUAAUACCGCAUACGACCUACGGGUGAAAGCAUGGGUUCUUCGGACCUUUCGCGUUUGUUUUAGCCGAUGUCGGGUUAGCUAGUUGGCGGGGUAAAGGCCCACCAAGGCGACGAUCCGUAGCUGGUCUGAGAGGAUGAUGAGGAAAACAGGAGAUGAGAAACGGUCCAGAAGCGUACGGGAGGCAGAAGGGGGGAAAAUAGGAAAAGGGGCGAAAGCCUGAACCAGCGAUACCGCGUGGGUGAAGAAGGCCUUCGGGUUGUAAAGACCUUUUGUUGGGAAAGAAAAGCAGCAGGUUAAUACCCCGCUGUUCUGACGGUACCAAAAGAAUAAGCACCGGCUAACUUCGU
rnacentral:rRNA from 1 species